rnacentral:rRNA from 1 species
UACGGAGGAUGCAAGCGUUAUCCGGAAUGAUUGGGCGUAAAGCGUCCGCAGGUGGCUAUGUAAGUCUGCUGUUAAAGAGUGAGGCUCAACCUCAUAAGAGCAGUGGAAACUACAUGGCUAGAGUGCGUUCGGGGCAGAGGGAAUUCCAGGUGUAGCGGUGAAAUGCGUAGAUAUCUGGAGGAACACCGGUGGCGAAGGCGGCAUCCUGGACCAACACUGACACUGAGGAGCGAAAGCCAGGGGAGCAAACGGG